rnacentral:rRNA from 1 species
CCUACGGGCGGCUGCAGUGGGGAAUAUUGGACAAUGGGGGCAACCCUGAUCCAGCCAUGCCGCGUGUGUGAAGAAGGCCCUCGGGUUGUAAAGCACUUUCAGUGAGGAAGAACGCCUGGUGGUUAAUACCCAUCAGGAAAGACAUCACUCACAGAAGAAGCACCGGCUAACUCCGUGCCAGCAGCCGCGGUAAUACGGAGGGUGCGAGCGUUAAUCGGAAUUACUGGGCGUAAAGCGCGCGUAGGUGGCUUGAUAAGCCGGUUGUGAAAGCCCCGGGCUCAACCUGGGAACGGCAUCCGGAACUGUCAAGCUCGAGUGCAGGAGAGGAAGGUAGAAUUCCCGGUGUAGCGGUGAAAUGCGUAGAGAUCGGGAGGAAUACCAGUGGCGAAGGCGGCCUUCUGGACUGACACUGACACUGAGGUGCGAAAGCGUGGGUAGCAAACAGGAUUAGAUACCCUAGUAGUC